UCAUCUCCGGGGGUAGAGCACUGUUUCGGCUAGGGGGCCAUCCCGGCUUACCAACCCGAUGCAAACUGCGAAUACCGGAGAAUGUUAUCACGGGAGACACACGGCGGGUGCUAACGUCCGUCGUGAAGAGGGAAACAACCCAGACCGCCAGCUAAGGUCCCAAAGUCAUGGUUAAGUGGGAAACGAUGUGGGAAGGCCCAGACAGCCAGGAUGUUGGCUUAGAAGCAGCCAUCAUUUAAAGAAAGCGUAAUAGCUCACUGGUCGAGUCGGCCUGCGCGGAAGAUGUAACGGGGCUAAACCAUGCACCGAAGCUGCGGCAGCGA
rnacentral:rRNA from 9 species